CUGCCCUCAAGCACGGCUUGUGUGUUGGGUGUGGUCCCCUCCCUGGCGGGGGGACCUGCCCGAAAGGCAGCGGCGACGUCGCGUCCGGUCCUCGAGCGUAUGGGGCUUUGUCACUCGCUCGGGAAGGACCUGCGCACGUCUGUCACAACUGUAUUUUUUACCAC
rnacentral:misc_RNA from 1 species